AGAAGAGAUGAAGGAAAGCUGGGAGGGAAGAAGACGUGAGGUUCAAUGAAAGGGAAAUUGCACUGAAAGGUUGAUGACUUCGGUGGUUUUCAGCUGGUCAACAGUGCUGAGUAGUGAAAACCCUGGGGUUAUUUGCAGAAAAGCUUCCGAGUUGUCAUAUUGCAUUGAUGUAAAACUCCAUAACUCAAACCUGUAAAACCCACAUCCUGUAUUCAAAAGCAGAAAAAUCAAAGCCAUCUCUUAUUGCACACCAUUGACUUUCCAGGAUAGUAACCCUUUGCAUUCUUUUUUGCUUUUAGGCUACUUUCCCUUGCCUGCAGUUCUUUUGAAAGAUAAAAAUAUUGAACUUGCCUUACCACCUUGUGCUGCUCCACAUGCUCACAGGAAUAAUAUUCUCAGAUCAAGAGAGUUCCUCGGAGUAGUUGAGGCCAGAGGUAGCUGUGCAGUUUAAGGAGACUAAAGCCAGCAGUAUGUGGCAGCUUUGACUGAUGCAUGAUGCAUUGGAAGACACCACUUAAAGAAUCCAGAAAAUAAUUG
rnacentral:lncRNA from 1 species